rnacentral:rRNA from 1 species
UUCGAAGCAACGCGAGAACCUUACCAGGUCUUGACACCCCUGACAACCGAGAGAUCGGCGUUCCCCUUCGGGGGACAGGGUGACAGGUGGUGCAUGGUUGUCGUCAGCUCGUGUCGUGAGAUGUUGGGUUAAGUCCCGCAACGAGCGCAACCCUCGACCUUAGUUGCCAGCAUUCAGUUGGGCACUCUAAGGUGACUGCCGGCUAAAAGUCGGAGGAAGGUGGGGAUGACGUCAAAUCAUCAUGCCCCUUAUGACCUGGGCUACACACGUGCUACAAUGGGCGGUACAAAGGGUCGCGAACCCGCGAGGGGGAGCCAAUCCCAAAAAGCCGCUCUCAGUUCGGAUUGCAGGCUGCAACUCGCCUGCAUGAAGCCGGAAUCGCUAGUAAUCGCGGAUCAGCACGCCGCGGUGAAUACGUUCCCGGGCCUU